rnacentral:rRNA from 1 species
GACGAACGCUGGCGGCGUGCUUAACACAUGCAAGUCGAACGGAAAGGCCCUGCUUUUGUGGGGUGCUCGAGUGGCGAACGGGUGAGUAACACGUGAGUAACCUGCCCUUGACUUUGGGAUAACUUCAGGAAACUGGGGCUAAUACCGGAUAGGAGCUCCUGCUGCAUGGUGGGGGUUGGAAAGUUUCGGCGGUUGGGGAUGGACUCGCGGCUUAUCAGCUUGUUGGUGGGGUAGUGGCUUACCAAGGCUUUGACGGGUAGCCGGCCUGAGAGGGUGACCGGCCACUGUGGGCGUGGGAUACGCCCCGGCCGCCGCCGGGAGGCAGGAGUGGGGAAUCUUGCACAGUGGGCGGAGGCCUGAUGCAGCAACCCCGCGUGGGGGAUGGCGGCCUUCGGUUUGUAAACCGCUUCCGCCUGGGACGAAGCGUGAGGGACGGUAAUGGAUAAAAAAGCACCCGCAAACUCCGUC